rnacentral:lncRNA from 1 species
UUUUUUUGCCCCAUUCUAUCCAAACCCUAGUUCCCUCUCUCUUCUCUCAUUCUCUCACUAUUGCCGCAGCCUCUGCCCACCGCUGCCGCCGUCUGACCACCUCUUUUCCGCCCCAAAAUUUAACCAUAUCAUCCUCUUACUCACCUAUUUCCAAAUAUCCAAACCAAAACCUCCACCCCCCAACUCUAUGAAUUUUAGAUCUAUGAACCCUAGCCGUCACCCCUUUUGCGUAAAUUCGUACAGUUUAUGGAAUCUCCACCCCAUGACACAUACAUAAACAGAUAGAGCUCUAUGAGAUGUAUAUUUUCAUGUAAAUUUCCACCCCAAAUUCCCCAUUGCCGCCGAUCAUCCGAAGCCACCGGCCACCACCAAGCACACUGACCCUCUGUUUUAGCCUAGUUUCGACCGAAGAACAUUUGUUUCCUUUUGGUAUGAUGACGAGCUCAUUGAGUUCAGCGUAUUCCAAAAGGAAAGGAGCGUUCCAAGGCUGGACAACCACUACUUGGUUUCUCUGGCAUCUUCUCAUGGCUCGAAUAGUUUCACAUGCCCUCGAUUGGUAUAAACCUUAAUUCUUUUUUUAUCUUUUCUGAUUUUUUGCAUUUGUAAUUAGUAUUAGUUUUAAGGUUUAAUUUUCAUUCAUGUUGUUGUUAUUUGUGUGCAAUUGAGCUAGGGUAAUAUUGAUUUUCAAUUACAUGUUACUUUAUAAAUUUGAAUUUCGUUCUUUGACCUAGCCGAUCGAGUAGUUCGUUAUUGUCUGUUAGUUUUGAUUUUUGGUUCUUUGACCUAGCCAGUCGACUAUUUCGUAUGGAUUUGUUAAGUUUGAAUUUUUCUGUUCUUUGACCUAAUCGGUUGAUAGUUAAGUUUUAUGUUAGUUUCAUGAAAACCCAAAAAGAUUAGUUGAAUCAUUUUUUUGUUAGUCGUUUGUUCAGUUGUUAUUAAUCAUGUGUGAUAGUUAGCAAUGCUUGUUUAGUUUCUGUUUCGCACGAUAGUUUAUAAUUUCAGUCGCUCCAUGUUAGUUUGCAUGAAUUGAAUUGAUUCAAUCUUGUUUGUCUGAAUACUUAUCCUAGCUCCAAUUGAAGUCUUAUUGUUGCUUUGUCAAUUUUAUGUUUGGAUUAAGUUUGAGUGUUUGAGUUUGUAUUGAUAAAAGCUAUAACUAAAAAAGGAAUAGUACAAGUUUGGUUGCUUUUUACUGUUCAUAUGCUUUUGGGAGUACAAAACUCCAAAAAUGCCUGUCAUUGUUUGGUGAAAAUACUAUCUUUUAGACAAAUCUUUAACCAAAAGUAUACGUCCUUUGGAUAUAUUUUCAAUAAUGAAUGUCUUUCUUCUUCUCCUAUAAAAGAAACACACUCUUUCACACUUUAAAAAGACACAUCUUAGAGAUAGAAAAAUCAGUUGAACACUCAUAGUAAGCUACAAAACCUGAGAGUUGUUUGAGUGAUUUUUUCUUUAUGGAAAAACCUUAUGAAAAUACUUAAAGUUCUUGAAGCCAGUCUUGGUUUCUUUCUUUCUCAAGCUGCUGAAUUUUUUGGUCCAAGUUUCUGGUUGACUUUGGUUUAAAUUGUUGUUGAUCGUGUUGUUGUCUGUUGCAUUCUGUUUGGUUUUGUUGGAUGUAAAGAAGAUUCAGAGUUUAACUUUGCAAUUCCUUGUUCAAAGUUUUCUUCAUUAGGUUUUCCACCUUACCUUUAAUAGUGUAAAUCUUGAAUGAUGUUUAUGGAACAUGAGUUUAUUUUAGUUAUCUGAAUCUAUUCGGACUAUCUUAAAUAUGAUUUAAGUUGACUGGUAGAAAGAAUGAAUACUUGAGUAUUAAAGUUCAUUUGUAUGUAGAUCAUAAACUUUUAAAAUAGUUUUUUUUACGUGUAAAUAACAAACCUAUGAAAGUGUCCUUUAUUUAUCUUCCUGGAGUUUCAAGAUAUAACAAAAUAUGUCAGAAGUUUCUUGUAACAACCCAACCGGUUAUUUUGAGCAUAAGCAUUCCAUUCAGUUGUUUGAAGCCUUGAGUAGAUUAUAUGAUGUAUUAUGACUUGUGUGAAUCGUCAGUUUUGAUUUUCAGGUGAUCCGAAGUUGAUAUGGAAGAAUAAUUCUCAACUAGAAAGCUUUAAGUUAGAACAGUUGACCAAGUUUGACUUUUGUAUAUUUGACCCCGGAUGGUGAUUUUGGACUCGGGCGUAUGCCCGGAUUUGCAUUUGAAUAUUUCUAGAAGGUUUCGGCACUAAUUGGCAAAAGUUAAAAAUUUGAAGGUUUGAAAAGUUCGUUAAGUUGGACCGAGAGUUGACUUUGAGGAUUCGGGUUCGGAUUGUGGUUCUUGGAAUUGGAAUAGUUUCGUUAUGUCAUUUGGGACUUGUGUGCAAAAUUUGAGUUCAUUCCGAGUUGAUUUGAUAUAUUUGGGCAUGAGUUUUGGAAGUUGAAAGAUUUAAAGUUCAUUAAAUUUAAAUUCGUUUUGACAUUAUUAUGUGUGAUUUGAGGUCUCAAGUAGGUCCGUGUUAUGUUAUGGGACUUGUUGGUAUAUUCGGACUGGCUCCCGAGUGGCUUGGAUGAGUUUGGGACGAGGUUCAGAUCAUUUUUCCUCUUGUAGCAUUGCUGAAGAUUUUUGGUGCUGGUGUAGCCGCAUUUGCAGAGUAUUGGUUGUAGAAGCGACUUCGUAGAUGCGGCAGGUUCAUCGUAGAAGCAGGAGAAGACUGUGCUUGGAGUCUGCACAAGUGCAAAAUUUGAGUCGCAUCUGCGACUUUGAAGAAGCGAUUGUCAUGGGUGCAAAAGUGAGGUCUUGCAGAGUAAAUAAAGGGGUAGUUUUCUGGGUAGUUACAAGUGUGCUCGUUUGGUAGCGGUUAUUGUUGGAGGAUCUAUAGUUGAUGUGUAAAAGAUAAGAACUUAUCCUAUUUGUUCUCACCUUUAAUUUUCUUAUCUACGUGAUUCAUCAAAUCAUGAUUCUUUGUUCGCCGAAAUAAUGGUUCUCCAUAUCCAAACUAAGUCAUUUGUCUUAGAAUUGUAUUGGUGAAAAAUAAAUUCACAACAUGGACCAAUAAUAUACUGAUAGGUAGAAUGGGAGUCGAAGUAAUAAAGAAGAAUGAAGAAUAUGAAAGGUAUAAGUACUAGCCAUGAGAUCAUUUACAAGGAUACCGUGCCUAUUAGUUGGUAAAGAAAAAUCAUGUACAGAGUGGAUAAUUAAGGACACCAGAAGCCAUGAAGAUGGAAAUAUCAUUAGUAGCCACGGAUAUGGAAGAAAAUUAGCAUAACCCUUGAUUAUGCACGAUUGGACUUGGGCAUAUGCCCGAAUUUGCAUUUGGAUAUUUCUUGAAGGUUCUAGCUUUAAUUGGCGAAAAUUGACAAUUUGGAGUUUUGGAAUGUUCAUUAGUUUGACUAGAAGUUGACUUUGGUGAUAAUCGAAUUUGGAUUGCAGUUUCAGGAGUUGUAAUAGCUUCGUUAUGUCAUUUGAAACUUGUGUACAAAAUUUGAGGUCAUUCCGAGUUGAUUUGAUAUGGUUCGGCACGAGUUUUGGAAGUUGAAAGUUCAAAAGUUUAUUAAGUUUGAUUUGAGGUGCGAUUCAUAGUUUUUAUGUUGUUUGAUGUGAUUUGAAGCUUCGAAUAAGUUUGUAUCAUAUUUACGGACUUGUUGGUAUGAUUGAAUGGGGUCCCGAGGGGCUUGGGUGUGUUUUGGGUCAUUGGUUGAGAAACUAGUUAAGUUAAGGAUUUGGAGUUUGACCAUGGUCAAUAUCGGGUCAAGAUGACCUUUUUUGGUGUUUUGAGUGAGCGAGAAGGUUUGUAGCGUAUUUUAUGAUUGAAAUACAUAUAUGGUUUAUGUACGAGAGGUUCCGAAUGAGUUUUGGGUGCUAAAACGAAAAUUCUUUUGUUGUUGAUUUUCUGGUGUAAAAUAAUUACAAAAAUGUCAUUUUUGUCUCUUAAAUUUUUAGAUUUAUUUUAAAACUUCAAAACAUCAUAUCUCUCUCAUUUUAAGGCCAAAUUGGAUGAUUCAAAAGGC